rnacentral:rRNA from 1 species
ACUGCUAUCGAGGUUCACUAAGCCAUGCGAGUCGAAUGUAGCAAUACAUGGCGUACUGCUCAGUAACACGUGGAUAACCUACCCUUAGGACGGGGAUAAACCCGGGAAACUGGGUAUAAUACCCGAUAGAUCUCGACUGCUGGAAUGCAUCGAGAUCUAAAGCUCCGGCGCCAAAGGAUGGAUCUGCGGCCUAUCAGGUAGUAGUGGGUGUAGCGUACCUACUAGCCUACGACGGGUACGGGUUGUGAGAGCAAGAGCCCGGAGAUGGAUUCUGAGACACGAAUCCAGGCCCUAUGGGGUGCAGCAGGCGCGAAAACUUUACAAUGCCGGCAACGGCGAUAAGGGGACCUCGAGUGCCAGGUUACAAAUCUGGCUGUCGAGAUGCCUAAAAAGCAUUUCAUAGCAAGGGCCGGGCAAGACCGGUGCCAGCCGCCGCGGUAACACCGGCGGCUCGAGUGGUAACCGUUAUUAUUGGGUCUAAAGGGUCUGUAGCCGGCCGGAUAAGUCUCUUGGGAAAUCUGUCAGCUUAACUGUCAGGCUUUCAGGAGAUACUGUCUGGCUCGAGGCCGGGAGAGGUGAGAGGUACUUCAGGGGUAGGGGUGAAAUCUUGUAAUCCUUGAAGGACCACCAGUGGCGAAGGCGUCUCACCAGAACGGACCUGACGGCAAGGGACGAAAGCUAGGGGCACGAACCGGACUAGAUACCCGGGUAGUCCUAGCCGUAAACGAUACUCGCUAGGUGUCGGCCACGGUGCGACCGUUGUCGGUGCCGUAGGGAAGCCGUGAAGCGAGCCACCUGGGAAGUACGGCCGCAAGGCUGAAACUUAAAGGAAUUGGCGGG